rnacentral:rRNA from 1 species
ACGGGGCCCGCACAAGCGGUGGAGCAUGUGGUUUAAUUCGACGCAACGCGAAGAACCUUACCAGGGCUUGACAUCUACAGAAUCCUGAGGAAACUCAGGAGUGCCCUUCGGGGAAACUGUAAGACAGGUGGUGCAUGGUUGUCGUCAGCUCGUGUCGUGAGAUGUUGGGUUAAGUCCCGCAACGAGCGCAACCCCUAUGUUUAGUUGCUAGCGAGUAAGGUCGAGCACUCUAGACAGACUGCCGGUGAUAAACCGGAGGAAGGUGGGGAUGACGUCAAAUCAUCAUGCCCCUUAUGUUCUGGGCUACACACGUGCUACAAUGGCCGGUACAAACGGAAGCGAAGCCGCGAGGUGAAGCAAAUCUGAUAAAACCGGUCUCAGUUCGGAUUGCAGGCUGCAACUCGCCUGCAUGAAGUCGGAAUCGCUAGUAAUCGCAGGUCAGCAUACUGCGGUCGAAUACGUUCCCGGGCCUU